UNNNNGAUUUAUUGGGCGUAAGCGAGCGCAGACGGUUAUUUAAGUCUGAAGUGAAAGCCCUCAGCUCAACUGAGGAAUGGCUUUGGAAACUGGAUGACUUGAGUGCAGUAGAGGAAAGUGGAACUCCAUGUGUAGCGGUGAAAUGCGUAGAUAUAUGGAAGAACACCAGUGGCGAAGGCGGCUUUCUGGACUGUAACUGACGUUGAGGCUCGAAAGUGUGGGUAGCAAACAGGAUUAGAUACCCUGGUAGUCCACACCGUAAACGAUGAGUGCUAGAUGUUCGAGGGUUUCCGCCCUUGAGUGUCGCAGCUAACGCAUUAAGCACUCCGCCUGGGGAGUACGACCGCAAGGUUGAAACUCAAAGGAAUUGACGGGGACCCGCACAAGCGGUGGAGCAUGUGGUUUAAUUCGAAGCAACGCGAAGAACCUUACCAGGUCUUGACAUCCCUUGCUAAUCCUAGAAAUAGGACGUUCCCUUCGGGGACAAGGUGACAGGUGGUGCAUGGUUGUCGUCAGCUCGUGUCGUGAGAUGUUGGGUUAAGUCCCGCAACGAGCGCAACCCUUAUUAUUAGUUGCCAGCAUUUAGUUGGGCACUCUAGUGAGACUGCCGGUGACAAACCGGAGGAAGGUGGGGAUGACGUCAAAUCAUCAUGCCCCUUAUGACCUGGGCUACACACGUGCUACAAUGGCAUAUACAACGAGUCGCCAACCCGCGAGGGUGCGCUAAUCUCUUAAAGUAUGUCUCAGUUCGGAUUGUAGGCUGCAACUCGCCUACAUGAAGUCGGAAUCGCUAGUAAUCGCGGAUCAGCACGCCGCGGUGAAUACGUUCCCGGGUCUUGUACACACCGCCCGUCACACCAUGAGAGUUUGUAACACCCAAAGCCGGUGGGGUAACCUUUUAGGAGCCAGCCGUCUAAGUGGGACAGAUGAUUAGGGUGAAGUCNUANNG
rnacentral:rRNA from 1 species